AUACGGAGGAUCCGAGCGUUAUCCGGAUUUAUUGGGUUUAAAGGGUGCGCAGGCGGCCAUUUAAGUCAGCGGUUAAAUCGUGGGGCUCAACCCCAUUCUGCCGUUGAUACUGGGUGGCUUGAUUGCGGUCGAGGUUGGCGGAAUUCGUUGUGUAGCGGUGAAAUGCGUAGAUAUGACGGAGAACACCGAUUGAGUAGGCAGCUGACCAGAUCGCAAAGGACGCUCAUGCACGAGAGUGCGGGGAUCGAACAAGAUUAGAUACCCUGUUUGUCCGCACAGUAAACGCUGAAUACUUGUUUUCGGCGAUAUAAUGUCGGAGGCUAGGCGAAAGCGAUAAGUAUACCACCUGGGGAGGACGCCGGCAACGGUGAAACUCAAAGGAAUUGAAGGGG
rnacentral:rRNA from 1 species